AGCAUACAAGGCAUACGGCUCAGUAACGCGUAGUCAACCUAACCUAUGGACGGGAAUAACCUCGGGAAACUGAGAAUAAUGCCCGAUAGAACAUUAUGCCUGGAAUGGUUUAUGUUCCAAAUGAUUUAUCGCCGUAGGAUGGGACUGCGGCCUAUCAGUUUGUUGGUGAGGUAAUGGCCCACCAAGACUAUUACAGGUACGGGCUCUGAGAGGAGUAGCCCGGAGAUGGGUACUGAGACACGGACCCAGGCCCUAUGGGGCGCAGCAGGCGAGAAAACUUUGCAAUGUGCGAAAGCACGACAAGGUUAAUCCGAGUGGUUUCUGCUAAAGGAACCUUUUGUCAGUCCUAGAAACACUGAUGAAUAAGGGGUGGGCAAGUUCUGGUGUCAGCCGCCGCGGUAAAACCAGCACCUCAAGUGGUCAGGAUGAUUAUUGGGCCUAAAGCAUCCGUAGCCGGCUCUGUAAGUUUUCGGUUAAAUCUGUACGCUCAACGUACAGGCUGCCGGGAAUACUGCAGAGCUAGGGAGUGGGAGAGGUAGACGGUACUCGGUAGGAAGGGGUAAAAUCCUUUGAUCUAUUGAUGACCACCUGUGGCGAAGGCGGUCUACCAGAACACGUCCGACGGUGAGGGAUGAAAGCUGGGGGAGCAAACCGGAUUAGAUACCCGGGUAGUCCCAGCUGUAAACUAUGCAAACUCAGUGAUGCAUUGGCUUGUGGCCAAUGCAGUGCUGCAGGGAAGCCGUUAAGUUUGCCGCCUGGGAAGUACGUACGCAAGUAUGAAACUUAAAGGAAUUGGCGGGGGAGCACCACAAGGGGUGAAGCCUGCGGUUCAAUUGGAGUCAACGCCGGA
rnacentral:rRNA from 1 species